GUCUACGGCCAUGCCACCCUGAAUAAGUGGGAUCCCAUCUGAUCUCGGAAGUUAAGCAGGGUUGGGCCCGGUUAGUACUUGGAUGGGAGACCACCUAGGAAGACCAGGUGCUGUAGGCG
rnacentral:rRNA from 1 species